AUUGAACGCUGGCGGCAUGCCUUACACAUGCAAGUCGAACGGUAACGGGCCUUCGGGUGCCGACGAGUGGCGAACGGGUGAGUAAUGCAUCGGAACGUACCCUUCAGUGGGGGAUAACGUAGCGAAAGUUACGCUAAUACCGCAUAUUCUGUGAGCAGGAAAGCAGGGGAUCGCAAGACCUUGCGCUGAUUGAGCGGCCGAUGUCAGAUUAGCUAGUUGGUGAGGUAAAGGCUCACCAAGGCGACGAUCUGUAGCGGGUCUGAGAGGAUGAUCCGCCACACUGGGACUGAGACACGGCCCAGACUCCUACGGGAGGCAGCAGUGGGGAAUUUUGGACAAUGGGGGCAACCCUGAUCCAGCCAUGCCGCGUGAGUGAAGAAGGCCUUCGGGUUGUAAAGCUCUUUCGGCCGGGAAGAAAUCGCACAGGCUAAUACCUUGUGUGGACGACGGUACCGGAAUAAGAAGCACCGGCUAACUACGUGCCAGCCGCCGCCGUAAUAC
rnacentral:rRNA from 1 species